CCUCCCCUUCUUCUCUAUCUCUCUCUUCAUCAACAAAAUCUUCCUCACCAUCAGCUUCUCCUUCUAUUUUCUCUUGAUCAUGUUCAUCUAUCUCAUCAUCCCCACCUCCUCUCCUUUCAUCUUCUGUCUCGUCACUCUUGGUUUCUUCUUCUUGCUCUUCAUCUUCAUGCUUGUUUUCUUCUUCUCUCCCUUCCUCAUCAUGCUUGCUUGCUUCAUCUUCUUCUCGCUCUUCCUCUUCAUGCUUCGUUCCUUCUUCCUCUCCCUCUUCUUCUUCAUGCUUAGCUCCUUCUU
rnacentral:misc_RNA from 1 species